AAAAUAUGCCCAAAUUGAAAGAUGCAAAACCCAUAAAUUACAAAAGCAAACAGCAAAUAAUAGAUGCAUAACAACCAGAAAAGAAGGAACUGUUAAGUAUAUAUUUAUAUAACUGAAAGAUAUGAUAGAAAGAACCCACAAAAGAAAAAAACCUAGAAAUGCAUCAAGAAUCAGAUCAUAGCACAACCAAGUUAAAUAAAGAAAAAAAAAAAGCAAA